rnacentral:rRNA from 1 species
AGAGUUUGAUCCUGGCUCAGGAUGAACGCUGGCGGCGUGCCUAAUACAUGCAAGUCGAGCGAACAGACGAGGAGCUUGCUCCUCUGACGUUAGCGGCGGACGGGUGAGUAACACGUGGAUAACCUACCUAUAAGACUGGGAUAACUUCGGGAAACCGGAGCUAAUACCGGAUAAUAUAUUGAACCGCAUGGUUCAAUAGUGAAAGACGGUUUUGCUGUCACUUAUAGAUGGAUCCGCGCCGCAUUAGCUAGUUGGUAAGGUAACGGCUUACCAAGGCAACGAUGCGUAGCCGACCUGAGAGGGUGAUCGGCCACACUGGAACUGAGACACGGUCCAGACUCCUACGGGAGGCAGCAGUAGGGAAUCUUCCGCAAUGGGCGAAAGCCUGACGGAGCAACGCCGCGUGAGUGAUGAAGGUCUUCGGAUCGUAAAACUCUGUUAUUAGGGAAGAACAAAUGUGUAAGUAACUAUGCACGUCUUGACGGUACCUAAUCAGAAAGCCACGGCUAACUACGUGCCAGCAGCCGCGGUAAUACGUAGGUGGCAAGCGUUAUCCGGAAUUAUUGGGCGUAAAGCGCGCGUAGGCGGUUUUUUAAGUCUGAUGUGAAAGCCCACGGCUCAACCGUGGAGGGUCAUUGGAAACUGGAAAACUUGAGUGCAGAAGAGGAAAGUGGAAUUCCAUGUGUAGCGGUGAAAUGCGCAGAGAUAUGGAGGAACACCAGUGGCGAAGGCGACUUUCUGGUCUGUAACUGACGCUGAUGUGCGAAAGCGUGGGGAUCAAACAGGAUUAGAUACCCUGGUAGUCCACGCCGUAAACGAUGAGUGCUAAGUGUUAGGGGGUUUCCGCCCCUUAGUGCUGCAGCUAACGCAUUAAGCACUCCGCCUGGGGAGUACGACCGCAAGGUUGAAACUCAAAGGAAUUGACGGGGACCCGCACAAGCGGUGGAGCAUGUGGUUUAAUUCGAAGCAACGCGAAGAACCUUACCAAAUCUUGACAUCCUCUGACCCCUCUAGAGAUAGAGUUUUCCCCUUCGGGGGGACAGAGUGACAGGUGGUGCAUGGUUGUCGUCAGCU